rnacentral:rRNA from 1 species
UACGUAGGUGGCAAGCGUUAUCCGGAAUUAUUGGGCGUAAAGAGGGAGCAGGCGGUCGAGGAGGUCUGUGGUGAAAACCUGGUGCUCAACAUCAGAGGUGCCAUAGAAACCAAUCGACUAGAGUUCAGAAGAGGAUCGUGGAAUUCCAUGUGUAGCGGUGAAAUGCGUAGAUAUAUGGAGGAACACCAGUGGCGAAGGCGACGAUCUGGGCUAGAACUGACGCUCAGUCCCGAAAGCGUGGGGAGCAAAUAGG